CCACCACUUCCCUUGCUGCCACUGCUCUUGCUCAACAAAAAUGUCCUCAAUGACAUCACAACCUUUGGAGAUAUUUCAACAAAACUAUUUUGUGUCACAGAUGGGGACUGGAUUAGGUGUGAGCAGUGCAGGAGGUGGCCUCGUGAAUUGUGCUCCAAUUUUACUGGGGAUCGCUUCAUUUGUGACCUAUGUGCAAAUUAGAAUCGUGCAAUAGCAGAGCAUAAGAAAGUGGCCACAUCAAUGUUACGCUGAAUUAAUUAGUUAAGUUAUUGUUAUUUGAUGUUCUUAUUUAUAAUCCAUUUCACUAUUAUAUUCUAAGUAAUAUUUUUGGUUUAUUAUUAAAAACAACUAUUGAUCGUC
ensembl:lncRNA